UGGGGAAUAUUGCACAAUGGGCGCAAGCCUGAUGCAGCCAUGCCGCGUGUAUGAAGAAGGCCUUCGGGUUGUAAAGUACUUUCAGCGGGGAGGAAGGGAGUAAAGUUAAUACCUUUGCUCAUUGACGUUACCCGCAGAAGAAGCACCGGCUAACUCCGUGCCAGCAGCCGCGAUAAUACGGAGGGUGCAAGCGUUAAUCGGAAUUACUGGGCGUAAAGCGCACGCAGGCGGUUUGUUAAGUCAGAUGUGAAAUCCCCGGGCUCAACCUGGGAUCUGCAUCUGAUACUGGCAAGCUUGAGUCUCGUAGAGGGGGGUAGAAUUCCAGGUGUAGCGGUGAAAUGCGUAGAGAUCUGGAGGAAUACCGGUGGCGAAGGCGGCCCCCUGGACGAAGACUGACGCUCAGGUGCGAAAGCGUGGGGAGCAAACAGG
rnacentral:rRNA from 1 species